UACGAGAGGCCCAAACGUUAUUCGGAUUUACUGGGCUUAAAGAGUUCGUAGGCGGCGCGGAAAGUAGGGUGUGAAAGCCCUCGGCUCAACCGAGGAACUGCGCUCUAAACUGUCGUGCUUGAGGAAGCUAGAGGUGAGCGGAACUGAUGGUGGAGCGGUGAAAUGCGUUGAUAUCAUCAGGAACACCGGAGGCGAAGGCGGCUCACUGGGGCUUAUCUGACGCUGAGGAACGAAAGCCAGGGGAGCAAACGGG
rnacentral:rRNA from 1 species